rnacentral:rRNA from 1 species
UACGAAGGGGGCUAGCGUUGCUCGGAAUUACUGGGCGUAAAGCGCACGUAGGCGGCUUCUUAGGUCGGUGGUGAAAUCCUGGAGCUCAACUCCAGAACUGCCUUCGAUACUGGGAAGCUCGAGUCCGGGAGAGGUGAGUGGAACUGCGAGUGUAGAGGUGAAAUUCGUAGAUAUUCGCAAGAACACCAGUGGCGAAGGCGGCUCACUGGCCCGGUACUGACGCUGAGGUGCGAAAGCGUGGGGAGCAAACAGG